rnacentral:rRNA from 1 species
UACGUAGGGUGCAAGCGUUAAUCGGAAUUACUGGGCGUAAAGCGUGCGCAGGCGGUUUUGUAAGUCAGAUGUGAAAUCCCCGAGCUUAACUUGGGAAUUGCAUUGGUGACUGCACGGCUAGAGUGUGUCAGAGGGGGGUAGAAUUCCACGUGUAGCAGUGAAAUGCGUAGAGAUGUGGAGGAAUACCGAUGGCGAAGGCAGCCCCCUGGGAUAACACCGACGCUCAUGCACGAAAGCGUGGGGAGCAAACAGG